rnacentral:rRNA from 1 species
CCUACGGGAGGCAGCAGUGGGGAAUAUUGCACAAUGGGCGCAAGCCUGAUGCAGCCAUGCCGCGUGUGUGAAGAAGGCCUUCGGGUUGUAAAGCACUUUCAGCGGGGAGGAAGGCGGUGAGGUUAAUAACCUUAUCGAUUGACGUUACCCGCAGAAGAAGCACAGGCUAACUCCGUGCCAGCAGCCGCGGUAAUACGGAGGGUGCAAGCGUUAAUCGGAAUUACUGGGCGUAAAGCGCACGCAGGCGGUCUGUCAAGUCGGAUGUGAAAUCCCCGGGCUCAACCUGGGAACUGCAUUCGAAACUGGCAGGCUAGAGUCUUGUAGAGGGGGGUAGAAUUCCAGGUGUAGCGGUGAAAUGCGUAGAGAUCUGGAGGAAUACCGGUGGCGAAGGCGGCCCCCUGGACAAAGACUGACGCUCAGGUGCGAAAGCGUGGGGAGCAAACAGGAUUAGAUACCCGUGUAGUC